rnacentral:rRNA from 1 species
CCUGAGAAACCCGAAAGAUCGAAUGGGGAGAUUCAUCGUCAGCGAUUCUGGUAUCUGUGCGGUUCGCGAUGCCCGGGUCUUCGGUCCCGGGGCACGCGUCCGCAUGUUUAUAUGACCGAAUCGUCGGCGUGCACUUCUCCCCUAGUAGGACGUCGCGACCCGUUGGGUGUCGGUCUACGGCCCGGGCGGUAGCCUGCUUCGUGUGCGCUUCACGGCGUUUCGCGGGGCAGACCCCUGAGUGUCUGGCCGGCUGCUCGGCGGUACUCGCACGGUAUCUGGCCGCAAAUAUUCGAACUGCGUCUGGCCCGUCGCAAGCGCGGCAAGUGUUCCCGGCUGUACGGAUCUAACGCCGUCACCGGGCCUUGCCAGCUGUUGGUUGACGGUGUCCUUAGACUGGCCACCAAUAUUAUGAUACCGGUCGGCGACGCUACUGCUUUGGGUACUUUCAGGACCCGUCUUGAAACACGGACCAAGGAGUCUAACAUGUGCGCGAGUCAUUGGGAUCAAUCAAGCCUAAAGGCGCAAUGAAAGUGAAGGUUGGCUUCGCGCCAACCUAGGGAGGAUGGGCCGCGUCACGAUGCGGUCCCGCACUCCCGGGGCGUCUCGUUCUCAUUGC